rnacentral:misc_RNA from 1 species
GUACAUUAGUGCUUGCGCACGACAAUAGAUUUCAUUACAUUCGAGUUUGUGUAAAAAUCCUCUGCCGGCCGAAGCUAGCAAGAGGCCAAAGGUUCACAGGGUAUUGGAUGAAAGCCACCGACGUGCACUUGCCAGUUUCUGGCCAGCACGGAAGGCAACCAUUCGUAAUCAUUAAUGAUCCUUCCGCAGGUUCACCUACGGAAA